UCAUGGCUCAGAUUGAACGCUGGCGGCAUGCCUUACACAUGCAAGUCGAACGGCAGCGGGCCUUCGGGGUGCCGGCGAGUGGCGAACGGGUGAGUAAUGCAUCGGAACGUGCCAUUGAGUGGGGAUAACGUAGCGAAAGUUACGCUAAUACCGCAUAUUCUGUGAGCAGGAAAGCAGGGGACCGCAAGGCCUUGCGCUCUUUGAGCGGCCGAUGUCAGAUUAGCUAGUUGGUGAGGUAAAGGCUUACCAAGGCGACGAUCUGUAGCGGGUCUGAGAGGAUGAUCCGCCACACUGGAACUGAGACACGGUCCAGACUCCUACGGGAGGCAGCAGUGGGGAAUUUUGGACAAUGGGCGCAAGCCUGAUCCAGCCAUGCCGCGUGAGCGAUGAAGGCCUUCGGGUCGUAAAGCUCUGUGGGGAGAGACGAAGAAAGCCCGUGAAGAGCGGGCCUUGACGGUAUCUCCUUAGCAAGCACCGGCUAACUCCGUG
rnacentral:rRNA from 1 species